rnacentral:rRNA from 1 species
AGUAACGGCGAGUGAAGCGGCAACAGCUCAAAUUUGAAAUCUGGCUCUUUUAGAGUCCGAGUUGUAAUUUGUAGAAGAUGCUUCGAGUGUGGUGCCGGUCUAAGUUCCUUGGAACAGGACGUCAUAGAGGGUGAGAAUCCCGUAUGUGACUGGUUACCUUCGCUCAUGUGAAGCUCUUUCGACGAGUCGAGUUGUUUGGGA